GAAUUGCGAUAAGUAAUGUGAAUUGCAGAAUUCAGUGAAUCAUCGAAUCUUUGAACGCACCUUGCACUCUUUGGUAUUCCGAAGAGUAUGUCUGUUUGAGUGUCAUGAAACUCUCAACCCCCCUAUUUUGUAAUGAGAUGGGCGUGGGCUUGGAUUAUGACUGUUGUCGGCGUAAUUGCCGGCUCAGUUGAAAUACACGAGCAACCCAUUUGAAAUAAACGGUUUGACUUGGCGUAAUAAUUAUUUCGCUAAGGACGUUUUCUUCAAAAGUAAGAGGUGCUUCUAAUGCGCUAUUACAGCACUUUAAAUUUUAGACCUCAAAUCAGUCAGGACUACCCGCUGAACUUAA
rnacentral:misc_RNA from 1 species